rnacentral:rRNA from 1 species
GGACCCGCACAAGCAGUGGAGUAUGUGGUUUAAUUCGAAGCAACGCGAAGAACCUUACCAGGACUUGACAUUGAUGGAAUGCCCAGAGAUGGGCAGUGCCUUCGGGAACUUGAAACAGGUGGUGCAUGGUUGUCGUCAGCUCGUGUCGUGAGAUGUUGGGUUAAGUCCCGCAACGAGCGCAACCCUUAUCAUUAGUUGCUACGCAAGAGCACUCUAAUGAGACUGCCGUUGAUAAACGGAGGAAGGUGGGGACGAAGUCAAAUCAUCAUGCCCUUUAUGUCCUGGGCAACACACGUACUACAAUGGCGGUAACAGCGAGAAGCGAAGGAGCGAUCCGGAGCGGACCUCUGAAAAGCCGUCUCAGUUCAGACUGCAGGCUGCAACUCGCCUGCACGAAGAUGGAAUUGCUAGUAAUCGCGAAUCAGCAUGUCG